UGCUUAUCUUACCUGCCGUUUAGUGGGGGAUAAAAUACCGCAUAUUCUGGUUUCGACCAGGAAAGGACUUCGGUUCGCUAAAUGAUGGGGAUAAGGCGUAUUAGUUUGUUGGUGGGGUAAAGGCCUACCAAGACCAAGAUGCGUAGCCAAACUGAGAGGUUGAAUGGCCACAGGGAAACUGAGACACGGUUCCCACUCCUACGGGAGGCAGCAGUGAGGAAUAUUCCGCAAUGGGCGAAAGCCUGACGGAGCGAUGCUACGUGAAGGAUGAAGGUCUACGGAUUGUAAACUUCUUUACUUGGAUGUACUCCUUAAAACUUGCAUCCGAGCAAAAAGUCACGACUAACUAUGUGCCAGCAGUCGCGGUAAGACAUAGGUGGCGAACGUUAUCCGGAAUUAUUGGGCGUAAAGGAUGCGUAGAUGGUAGAAUAAGUUAUUGGUUGAUACCAAACUCAAUUUGGUGGAGGCUGGUAAUACUGUUCGGCUAGAGGGCAGGAGAGGUUGAUGGAAUUCUGUGUGGAGCGGUGAAAUGCGUUGAUCUACAGAGGAACACCAAAAAAGGCGAAGGCAGUCAACUAUUCUGUUCCUGACAUUGAGGCAUGAAAGCGUGGGGAGCAAACCGGAUUAGAUACCCGGGUAGUCCACGCCCUAAACGAUGAGCAUUAGAUAUUGGGCAUUUUGCUUAGUGUCGCAGCUAACGCUUUAAAUGCUCCGCCUGAGUACUACGGUCGCAAGGCUAAAACUCAAAGGAAUUGACGGGGACCCGCACAAGCGGUGGAGCAUGUGGUUUAAUUCGAUACGACGCGCAGAACCUUACCAAGGUUUGACAUGGAGGGCAAAGUUGAAGAAACUUAACGGAGGUUAUCCCGACACAGGUGGUGCAUGGUCGUCGUCAGUUCGUGCUGUGAAGCGUACGCUUAAGUGCUAGAACGAACGCAACCCUCAUAUUUAGUUGCUAUCAUUUAGUUGAGAACUCUAAAUAGACUGCUAAGAUAACUUAGAGGAAGGAGAGGAUGAAGUCUGAUCGUC
rnacentral:rRNA from 1 species